rnacentral:rRNA from 1 species
UAGGGAAUCUUCGGCAAUGGGGGGAACCCUGACCGAGCAACGCCGCGUGAGUGAAGAAGGUUUUCGGAUCGUAAAGCUCUGUUGUUAAGGAAGAACGAGUGUGAGAAUGGAAAGUUCAUACUGUGACGGUACUUAACCAGAAAGGGACGGCUAACUACGUGCCAGCAGCCGCGGUAAUACGUAGGUCCCGAGCGUUGUCCGGAUUUAUUGGGCGUAAAGCGAGCGCAUGCGGUUAGUUAAGUCUGAAGUUAAAGGCAGUGGCUCAACCAUUGUAUGCUUUGGAAACUGUUUAACUUGAGUGCAGAAGAGGAGAGUGGAAUUCCAUGUGUAGCGGUGAAAUACGUAGAUAUAAGGAGGAAGACCGGUGGCGAAGGCGGCUCUCUGGUCUGUAACUGACGCUGAGGCUCGAGAGCGUGGGGAGCGAACAGG